CCAUCCUGUAUGCCAUUCCCAACCGAUCGGAGCUCGUAGUGCAAGCGUUUGGCUAAUUAGUUGAAAUGUUUGCACAAAUGCCAGACGAGUGCCGCCUGGCGGGAAUAUAAAAUUUCAAGCUCAUCCGCGGCUGAUGGGCGCCAUUACACAGACGACGAUCAUGAUCAUGAUGAUCCGGGGGGGUAGAUCUGGUAGAUCUGUACCCACGGAAUGCAUACAUUUGUUUGUG
rnacentral:lncRNA from 1 species